rnacentral:rRNA from 1 species
AACAGGAUUAGAUACCCUGGUAGUCCACGCCCUAAACUAUGUCAACUGGUUGUCGGGGAAGCAAUUCCUUGGUAACGAAGCUAACGCGUGAAGUUGACCGCCUGGGGAGUACGGCCGCAAGGUUAAAACUCAAAGGAAUUGACGGGGACCCGCACAAGCGGUGGAUUAUGUGGAUUAAUUCGAUGCAACGCGAAAAACCUUACCUACCCUUGACAUGCCAGGAACCUCGCAGAGAUGUGAGGGUGCCCGAAAGGGAACCUGGACACAGGUGCUGCAUGGCUGUCGUCAGCUCGUGUCGUGAGAUGUUGGGUUAAGUCCCGCAACGAGCGCAACCCUUGCCAUUAGUUGCCACAUUCAGUUGGGCACUCUAAUGGGACUGCCGGUGACAAACCGGAGGAAGGUGGGGAUGACGUCAAGUCCUCAUGGCCCUUAUGGGUAGGGCUUCACACGUAAUACAAUGGCCGGUACAGAGGGCAGCCAACCCGCGAGGGGGAGCUAAUCCCAGAAAGCCGGUCGUAGUCCGGAUUGCAGUCUGCAACUCGACUGCAUGAAGCCGGAAUCGCUAGUAAUCGCGGAUCAGCAUGUCGCGGUGAAUACGUUCCCGGGUCUUGUACACACCGCCCGUCACACCAUGGGAGUGGGUUCCACCAGAAGUAGUUAGCCUAACCGCAAGGAGGGCGACUACCACGGUGAGAUUCAUGACUGGGGUGAAGUCGUAACAAGGUAACC